UCCUAGUUUGCUCAGUUGGUAGAAUGCUCCACUUGAAAUGGAGAGGUCCCUGUUCGAUACCAUGACCAGGCG
rnacentral:tRNA from 1 species